rnacentral:rRNA from 1 species
UGACCUCAAAUCAGGUAGGACUACCCGCUGAACUUCAAGCAUAUCAAUAAGCGGAGGAA